UCGUGGAGCUCCGGCUCCUUCGAGGGAGAACCCUUGCCUUUUGAGGCACCUGUUUGUUUCCUCGGCAGGCCCGCCUGCCAAUGGGGACCCCUUCAAACUCUUGCAAUAACCUGUAUGAAAUCGUCUGAACAAAACAAACAAAUCA
rnacentral:misc_RNA from 1 species